UACGUAGGGUGCAGGCGUUAAUCGGAAUUACUGGGCGUAAAGCGUGCGUAGGCGGUUCGUUAAGUCUGUCGUGAAAGCCCUGGGCUCAACCUGGGAAUUGCGAUGGAUACUGGCGAGCUAGAGUACGGUAGAGGAUGGUGGAAUUCCCGGUGUAGCGGUGAAAUGCGUAGAGAUCGGGAGGAACACCCGUGGCGAAGGCGGCCAUCUGGACCAGUACUGACGCUGAGGCACGGAAAGCGUGGGGAGCAAACAGG
rnacentral:rRNA from 1 species